UACGAGGGGGGCAAAUGUUGUUCGGAAUCACUGGGCGUAAAGGGAGCGUAGGCGGGUUCUUAAGUAAGGUGUUUAAUCCCGGGGCCCAACCCCGGACCGGCACUUUUAAACUGGGAAUCUUGAAUAGUGGAGAGGUCGGUGGAAUUGGGGGUGUAGCGGUGGAAUGCGUAGAGAUCCCCAAGAACACCAGUUGCGAAGGCGGCCGACUGGACACAUAUUGACGCUGAGGCUCGAAAGCAUGGGGGAGCAAACAGG
rnacentral:rRNA from 1 species